rnacentral:lncRNA from 10 species
GUGAGUGGGGUGGGGGAGUUGGAGGAGGAAGACCCUACAGGAAGUUGAGGUAUCAUAUCCUCAAUUUCUGUGACCCCCAGUGGUUUCACACUAUCUUUUCAGCAAGCCACAUUGGAUUUCACGCAUUUACUGACUCUUCUACCCGUUCUUUUUGGUGUCCAGCUGUACUCUCCAACAGGCGAGCACAUGGUCGUCUCCUCUCUCCCUUCAGGCUGGUCUGGAACUCCUGGCUUCAAGUGAUCCUCCUCAGCCUCCCAAAGAUCUGGGAUUACAGGUGUGAACCACUGCACCUGGCCUAGUUUUAUUUGCUAAUGACAAGUCAACAGUCAGUUUAGUUGUAAUUUCGUUGUAGGGAGUCAUUUAAUACUUCAUGAUUAGAACAAAUAUGUGAAAGUUCCCACCAACCAGUGAGAAUUUCUUCCUUCAGACGGUUUUGGAUCUUACUGCACAGCUUUCUGAGAAGUUCUUUUGGUGCCAUGUUUUGUGGCUUGCAUCAAAAGAGGAGUUUGUCUUCAUGAAGAUUCCUAACAUUGGUAAUGUGAUGAAUAAAUUUGAGAUCCUUGGGGU